GAUGAACGCUAGCGGCAGGCUUAACACAUGCAAGUCGAGGGGUAUAGUUCUUCGGAACUAGAGACCGGCGCACGGGUGCGUAACGCGUAUGCAAUCUACCUUUCACAGAGGGAUAGCCCAGAGAAAUUUGGAUUAAUACCUCAUAGUAUUAUAGAAUGGCAUCAUUUUAUAAUUAAAGUCACAACGGUGAAAGAUGAGCAUGCGUCCCAUUAGCAGAUGGUAAGGUAACGGCUUACCAUGGCUACGAUGGGUAGGGGUCCUGAGAGGGAGA
rnacentral:rRNA from 1 species